rnacentral:rRNA from 1 species
UACAACUUUCAACAACGGAUCUCUUGGCUCUCGCAUCGAUGAAGAACGCAGCGAAAUGCGAUAAGUAAUGUGAAUUGCAGAAUUCAGUGAAUCAUCGAAUUUUUGAACGCACCUUGCGCCCCUUGGUAUUCCGAGGGGCAUGCCUGUUUGAGUGUC